rnacentral:rRNA from 1 species
AGUAGGGAGGAAGGUAGUGUAGUUAACACCUGCAUUAUUUGACGUUACCUACAGAAGAAGCACCGGCUAACUCCGUGCCAGCAGCCGCGGUAAUACGGAGGGUGCGAGCGUUAAUCGGAAUUACUGGGCGUAAAGCGCAUGCAGGCGGCCUGUUAAGUCAGAUGUGAAAGCCCGGGGCGUUAACCUCGGAAAUUGCAUUUGAAACUGGCAGGCUAGAGUCUUGUAGAGGGGGGUAGGAAUUUACAGGUGUAGACGGUGAAAUGCGUAGAGAUCUGAAGGAAUACCAGUGGCGAAGGCGGCCCCCUGGACAAAGACUGACGCUCAGAUGCGAAAGCGUGGGGAGCAAACAGGAUUAGAUACCCUGGUAG